rnacentral:rRNA from 1 species
GUGGCAGCCGCCGCGGUAAUACGGAGGGUGCAAGCGUUAAUCGGAAUUACUGGGCGUAAAGCGCGCGUAGGUGGCUUGAUAAGCCGGUUGUGAAAGCCCCGGGCUCAACCUGGGAACGGCAUCCGGAACUGUCAGGCUAGAGUGCAGGAGAGGAAGGUAGAAUUCCCGGUGUAGCGGUGAAAUGCGUAGAGAUCGGGAGGAAUACCAGUGGCGAAGGCGGCCUUCUGGACUGACACUGACACUGAGGUGCGAAAGCGUGGGUAGCAAACAGGAUUAGAUACCCUGGUAGUCCACGCCGUAAACGAUGUCGACCAGCCGUUGGGUGCCUAGAGCACUUUGUGGCGAAGUUAACGCGAUAAGUCGACCGCCUGGGGAGUACGGCCGCAAGGUUAAAACUCAAAUGAAUUGACGGGGGCCCGCACAAGCGGUGGAGCAUGUGGUUUAAUUCGAUGCAACGCGAAGAACCUUACCUACCCUUGACAUCUACAGAAGCCGGAAGAGAUUCUGGUGUGCCUUCGGGAACUGUAAGACAGGUGCUGCAUGGCUGUCGUCAGCUCGUGUUGUGAAAUGUUGGGUUAAGUCCCGUAACGAGCGCAACCCUUGUCCUUAUUUGCCAGCGAGUAAUGUCGGGAACUCUAAGGAGACUGCCGGUGACAAACCGGAGGAAGGUGGGGACGACGUCAAGUCAUCAUGGCCCUUACGGGUAGGGCUACACACGUGCUACAAUGGCCGGUACAAAGGGCUGCGAGCUCGCGAGAGUCAGCGAAUCCCUUAAAGCCGGUCUCAGUCCGGAUCGGAGUCUGCAACUCGACUCCGUGAAGUCGGAAUCGCUAGUAAUCGUGAAUCAGAAUGUCACGGUGAAUACGUUCCCGGGCCUUGCACACACCGCCCGUC